AGUUAAUCAUCUAUGUUCCAUGUGCAAAAAAAUAAAAAAAACAUAGAAAAACGUAUUUUCCUCCGAUAUGGCUACAUAAACUGUUAUAUUGUUUUUUUUAUUUACUGUUACAUGUAAAUCGAUAGAUUCCACAUUUCACAGAGUUAAAUUAUUUAGUUAAAAUAUUAUAUUUUCAAUAUUUUGAGCCAAACCCCUAUAUCACAUAACAUUCUACAAUUUGACCCACAUGUAUGCAUACGAUAUGUACCACCACAUCAACACGUUACGGGAGCAUAAAGAAAAAAAAUUUAACAUCGAAUGAGAAUAAAAGAGGUUAUGCUAAGAAAACAAUAUCAAACCUUUUUACCAAAAAAAAAACAAUAUCAAACCUUGUCAAAAAAAAAAGAGAACAAUAUCAAACCUAAUUCCAAUUCUUAACGAUGAAAAGUCAGGAGUUGUUUGGUAUACUUCCAAUAAUUAUGCACUCACUACUCUUAAACCUUUUCACAUAACCAGGCAUGUCUAUAUCUAUCCAUGUAUGAUUUUGUAUAUUAUAUUAUUUAUUACUUGCCUUUCUAAUUU
rnacentral:lncRNA from 1 species